rnacentral:snRNA from 1 species
AUGCUUGUUUUGGUAGCACAUAUACUAAAAUUGGAAUGAUAUAAAGAUUAGCAUGGCCUCUGUACAAGGAUGACAAGCAAAUUCAUGAAAGGAAGCCUCUUCCA